GAUGAACGCUGGCGGCGUGCCUAAUACAUGCAAGUCGAGCGAACAGACGAUGAUCUUGCUCCUCUGACGUUAGCGGCGGACGGGUAAGUAACACGUGUAUAACCUACCUAUAAUACUGGGAUAACUUCGGGAAACCGGAUCUAAUACCGGAUAAUAUAUUGAACCGCAUGGUUCAAUAGUGAAAGACGGUUUUGCUGUCACUUAUAGAUGGAUCCGCGCCGCAUUAGCUAGUUGGUAAGGUAACGGCUUACCAAGGCAACGAUGCGUAGCCGACCUGAGAGGGUGAUCGGCCACACUGGAACUGAGACACGGUCAAGACUACUACGGGAGGCAGCAGUAGGGAAUCUUCCGCAAUGGGCGAAAGCAUGACGGAGCAACGCCGCGUGAGUGAUGAAGGUCUUCGGAUCGUAAAACUCUGUUAUUAGGGAAGAACAAAUGUGUAAGUAAAUAUGCACGUCUUGACGGUACCUAAUCAGAAAGCAACGGCUAACUACGUG
rnacentral:rRNA from 1 species